rnacentral:rRNA from 1 species
CUAAUACAUGCAAGUCGAGCGGACAGAUGGGAGCUUGCUCCCUGAUGUUAGCGGCGGACGGGUGAGUAACACGUGGGUAACCUGCCUGUAAGACUGGGAUAACUCCGGGAAACCGGGGCUAAUACCGGAUGGUUGUCUGAACCGCAUGGUUCAGACAUAAAAGGUGGCUUCGGCUACCACUUACAGAUGGACCCGCGGCGCAUUAGCUAGUUGGUGAGGUAACGGCUCACCAAGGCGACGAUGCGUAGCCGACCUGAGAGGGUGAUCGGCCACACUGGGACUGAGACACGGCCCAGACUCCUACGGGAGGCAGCAGUAGGGAAUCUUCCGCAAUGGACGAAAGUCUGACGGAGCAACGCCGCGUGAGUGAUGAAGGUUUUCGGAUCGUAAAGCUCUGUUGUUAGGGAAGAACAAGUGCCGUUCAAAUAGGGCGGCACCUUGACGGUACCUAACCAGAAAGCCACGGCUAACUACGUGCCAGCAGCCGCGGUAAUACGUAGGUGGCAAGCGUUGUCCGGAAUUAUUGGGCGUAAAGGGCUCGCAGGCGGUUUCUUAAGUCUGAUGUGAAAGCCCCCGGCUCAACCGGGGAGGGUCAUUGGAAACUGGGGAACUUGAGUGCAGAAGAGGAGAGUGGAAUUCCACGUGUAGCGGUGAAAUGCGUAGAGAUGUGGAGGAACACCAGUGGCGAAGGCGACUCUCUGGUCUGUAACUGACGCUGAGGAGCGAAAGCGUGGGGAGCGAACAGGAUUAGAUACCCUGGUAGUCCACGCCGUAAACGAUGAGUGCUAAGUGUUAGGGGGUUUCCGCCCCUUAGUGCUGCAGCUAACGCAUUAAGCACUCCGCCUGGGGAGUACGGUCGCAAGACUGAAA